UUCAAACCAGGACGGACCCCGCAUUGGCUCUCUACAAUUCUAAACUCCAAGCAGUUCCCCUCUUCCUUCAAUUUAUCGUCCAAUUCCUCCCAGGAGAAAAGCAGAGGCAAGGUAAAUGCACCCCAAGGAUUGAAAUCCAAAAGCUUAACUCGUUCAUCAUUCGUAACAUAUAUAUCAAAUGUAUAACUUUCUGACUCAAAAUUUCCCCUCACUUUAUAUAGAAAAAAUCUCUCAAUUAUUGCUAUCAACUCAUCCUUCUUAUCAAGAAGGGCAGGAUAAAAUCCAGUCACCUCACGCUGAGAGAUUCCCACGAGGAUCCCAUUGCGUACAAAGCAGCGGAAUUCCAUCUCGGGGCGCAGAGAUGAGUACCAUUUGCGAAGUGCAAGGAAAA
rnacentral:lncRNA from 1 species